AACGCGAAGAACCUUACCUAGACUUGACAUCCCGGUGACCGCUCUGGAAACAGAGUUUUCCCUUCGGGGACACCGGUGACAGGUGGUGCAUGGUUGUCGUCAGCUCGUGUCGUGAGAUGUUCGGUUAAGUCCGAUAACGAGCGCAACCCUUCUCCUUAGUUGCUAACAUUUAGUUGAGAACCCUAAGGAUACUGCCGGUGACAAACCGGAGGAAGGUGGGGAUGGCGUCAAAUCAUCAUGCCCCUUACGUCUAGGGCUACAGGCGUGCUAUAAUGGCCGGUAUAAUGAGUCGCAAUACCGUGAGGUGGAGCUAAUCUCCAAAGCCGUUCCCAGUUCGGAUUGAAGUCUGCAACUCGACUUCAUGAAGCUAGAAUCGCUAGUAAUCCCGGAUCAGAAUGCCGGGGUGAAUACGUUCCCGGGUCUUGUACACACGC
rnacentral:rRNA from 1 species